ACCCGCUGAACUUAAGCAUAUCAAUAAGCGGAGGAAAAGAAACCAACAGGGAUUGCCCCAGUAACGGCGAGUGAAGCGGCAACAGCUCAAAUUUGAAAUCUGGUCCCCCCGCGGGGCCCGAGUUGUAAUUUGAAGAGGAUGCUUCUGGCAAGGUGCCGUCCGAGUUCCCUGGAACGGGACGCCGCAGAGGGUGAGAGCCCCGUACGGUCGGACGCCGAGCCUCUGUGAAGCUCCUUCGACGAGUCGAGUAGUUUGGGAAUGCUGCUCAAAAUGGGAGGUAAACCCCUUCUAAAGCUAAAUACCGGCCAGAGACCGAUAGCGCACAAGUAGAGUGAUCGAAAGAUGAAAAGCACUUUGAAAAGAGAGUUAAAAAGCACGUGAAAUUGUUGAAAGGGAAGCGCUUGCGACCAGACUCGCGCCCGUCGGAUCAGCCGUCGCUCGUCGGCGGCGCACUCCGGCGGGCUCGGGCCAGCAUCAGUUCGCCUCGGGGGGAGAAAGGCGGCGGGAAUGUGGCUCUACGGAGUGUUAUAGCCCGCCGCGUAAUACCCCCGGGCGGACUGAGGACCGCGCGUAUGCAAGGAUGCUGGCGUAAUGGUCGUCAGCGACCCGUCUUGAAACACGGACCAAGGAGUCGUCCUAAUAUGCGAGUGUACGGGUGUCAAACCCCUGCGCGUAAUGAAAGUGAACGGAGGUGAGAGCUUCGGCGCAUCAUCGACCGAUCCUGAUGUUCUCGGAUGGAUUUGAGUAAGAGCAUAUUGGGCCGGACCCGAAAGAAGGUGAACUAUGCCUGUGUAGGGUAAAGCCAGAGGAAACUCUGGUGGAGGCUCGCAGCGGUUCUGACGUGCAAAUCGAUCGUCAAACAUGGGCAUGGGGGCGAAAGACUAAUCGAACCUUCUAGUAGCUGGUUUCCGCCGAAUUUYCCCC
rnacentral:sRNA from 1 species